AAGCUCAAUGCCAUCAUCAAUGAACAUAGUUUUUACUUUGUCAAACAUCUAUCAACUGAUUGUUUAGAUUUCGUUUCAAAACGUUUUUUUUUUUGGACAAAGCGUGAAUUCGCGAUGAAAAAGUGCCGACGUCUGAUGGCGACUUUCAAUUAGGGACAAGAUUUUUUCACCACCUGCAAACAAAUAUUUUUCAUUUAAACAGAAUGCCAAAUUGACGUCUCUUCAUUGAAAACGAAUGAUUUCAAUAGAUCUUUAUUUUGCUUAAUCGGGCAUUUUCAACGCACGAAGACACAAGCACGGAUAAAAAAGCAGAUUCGCUGGAAAUUGGAGAAAUAAUCCCGGUUGAAGCAUCAUCACAUUCGUUUUUAUACCGGUCCCACAACGAGUGGUGCAUACAUUUGGAGCUUCUACAUAUCUACAAUAUCUCCCGUAACGGCUCGUGAUCUGCGUGUUUUAACGGAAUAUUUUAGAUGUACUAUUACUCCGGCACUUCCACCCUCAGUGGCCAGUCGCAUCCCAGAAAGACGGGUGUCGCGUCCCUGUACUGAGUCCAAAUCGUACGCUGAAACGCCAGAUAGUGUUGCUACCAGCUAAAGCUAAUGAUCGUUCGUUCAAUGGUGCUGCUGCUGCAGCUGCUACUGCCGCUCCAGCCAAAGGACUGUCCAAAUAUGAGGAUGACCAGUGUAUCGUAUCAAAAAUUGACAGUCGCAGAAAUUUUGAAACGGGAACAAGGUUUGAAGAAUCUUCAGGAAGAACUUCGCAACGAAGAAACUAUUGAAGAAGUUGAAACUAGGAUUGGGCGAUCUUUAUAAAAAGAUCGAUCUUAUCGAAUCGAUUUUCCAAACGGCUUAGGAAUCGAUCAACUGAUUAAAUCAGUACUAAAGAAUCGAUCUUUGCUGAAUCGAUCUUUACCGAAUUGAUUUUUGAAAAAUUAAAAGCUUUUUUUUUUGAAUAUGCAUGUUCUAUAUGAAUGUCGUCUUUUCUUUGAACAGGGAAUACAAAUUUCAUAUUUUUAUUUGAAUAUCAAAAGCAUUUUGUUUUGGUUCUCAGCAUGAAGGCCAUAGCCACAGGGCAUCCAUCUUGUGCUGUCAGGUAGUCGUUUUAUUAAAUAAAUUAAUUGAAAAUAAUUAGAAAUUCAACAACUGCCCAAAACUCAGCUGACAAUAAGAGCCAAUCGUGCCAUACGUUUGUCAUUUAGUCGAAGCCGAUUCUUAAUUUUGGCGCCAGGCUCAGAAAACAACCUUUCGCCUGUAAGGGAUGUCAACAUCAGGUUUAGUGAUCCUAUGCGCAAUCGUUUACAGUUCAUCCCCUCAGUAACUGCUACUAGUUCCGUCUUUGUCAGCAUUUGAACAGAAAUAAAUCGUAGAAGAGGCACUCCAAAUGUUGACAUUAUGUUCAAAAAAAUGUUGACAUUUGGUGACAUUUGGUGAUAUAAAAAACAAAUUUACAAAAAGAUCGAAAAGAACGAAAGCAACAAAAUCGAUUUUCUCGAUUUUAUCGAGUACAAAAAAUCGAUCCAAAAAAUCGGAAAUUGGAAUGGAAAAGAUCGAUCUUCUAAUAAUCGAUCCGAGAUCGCCCAAUCCUAGUUGAAACAGUCUAAAUACGUAAUGAUGAAAGAAAAUUUCAUCGUGACUUCAAGUAAUACAAACAUGAACAACCCUCGAGCUUCGAUACCAGUCCCCUAACGAAAGGGUUACUCAGUGCGGUCGCAUUUCCAGCUCAUUCGAAAAACAUAAAGUCAGUUAAUACAAAUCCAGUCAGUUGUUGGUCGCCUAUCAAUAUCGCGAAACUGCUUCAACGUUUACUUUUACAUCCGGGAGGUACCUUCUAUACCGCGACAUAUGUUACCUAUUGGAGCAAUCCGAACAGGGUCCAAUCUAAUCAUCACACCGUCAGUGACGAUAACUCCCACGAGUGCACCUUCGAAUAGUGUAAAACUCAAAGCACUCUGAUAUCAGCUGGAGAAAACCUUGCUAUAGAUCCCACCGCUCACACCCAAAAUGUACUUCAUUCCGAAUGGAUGCUGAGGUGGCUGUUGGGAGGAUAUACAAUAAUUCCGUGGAUUAGUCAAUGAGCUAUUUUAGAAGAAAACAAUACGACGUUCUUAUAGAAGAUUAUUAUAAUGAAUUUUCCCGGAGAUCCUUCCAGCUGUGGGGACAGAAGGUGGAUGUCGUCUUUUGCACAUCAAUUACAAUUUGUCGUUCGGAUUUCUCCCUGCGGCACGAACACAUAUAUAUUUUGGAUCUACAACACAAGGUUCUAGAGGACAUCCGUGCAAGAACAUGCAAAGCAAGGAUUGUUAUAGUGAUACACUUUCUCAUUUGGAAGAGAAAUUCUGUGAGUGCGCGUGCGAAUGUGUUUUUACGAACAGGAAACCGAUGAAGGGGCAUUCUCUUGAAAUUACGCAAUAUUUUCACGCAUUUUUUCUGAGCGCAUCAGUUGCGUAAAAAAUGAAGUGAUACUGAUAGCAACUGCAUGUGUAAUUACUGGAAAGGUUUGCCGACCAACAUACCUAUUAGUAAACUUGAAGUAUGGAAAGUAUCGUGUUUGGGCAUGUGUGCUUCGAGUUUGGCGUCGAUUUACCACCGCUCGAGCAGAAGCGGCCGAGGUCACGGUAAAACCUUCCGGAGUAAAAGGUUCAUUGCACUGAUUCACAUACGAACAAAUGUUGAUGGUUUAGAAAGGAUACCAAGAAGGAUAAGCUAUGCUCUUGAGUAACAUUGAAUAUGAUGAUGUGUAUGAACAUCCGGAUGAGGACGCUGAGGACCGGCAAAUGUUCUCGAUACGGUCGAGAUGCGAGCGGGAAGAAAUAUUGCAGAAUUUAUUAGAAAAUUAUUUCGCUAUUUCGCAAAACCGAUGGGUCGGAAUAAGGUGAUCAAUGUAAAGUUCAGCGAGGAUGAUAGCGAAGAGAAAAAUCUAUAGACCAGAAAAAAGAGUUAGUGAAAAAAAUUGUUCAUUUAAGUACGUUAAACGUUCUUAAUUCAAGCAGUAACGACACUGAUUUGCUCAUUGAUUAGUAAUUGAGCUGCUAUUUGGAUGAAUAAGAGUGAACAUACUAUUUCGUAAAUUUACAUGUACAUAUUUAAUAGAAUUAUGUAUUUAAAUAGAAGUAAACUUUUUUUAUAUAAACAUAUGUAUUUCAGUAUUUUGCGGAUAAUCGGAAUAAUUAUCUGAAUAAAUAUUGAUCGUAAUGACCUGAAUAUUCAUUUUCGACAUUCAAGAUUUUAUUUAUUCCUAGAGAUGAUUCUAGUUUAAUGAUUGAAAAAUAUACUGUAUACUGGUAUACUUGCACUCUCAGUGGCCGAACGAGAAGAGAAUGGAUGGAGUUCAGGCAGCUACAAACCCCCCAGUGACUGUUCUCCCGACGGGAGAAAAAAUCAACUGAUUGGUCAUUGGCGGAGGCUAUGAUAAACUCAAAAAUAUGGUAGGAGUGAUCCGACCGACACCCGCCCGUGUUCGAAGUUACCGACGCGACAGACUUCGUAGGAACCGAAUUCAGAUGCCAAUUGCUCAGCAAUAAAAUUAGAAAAAAAAGGAGAAACAUAAAAAAAAGCCUUCUGCAUGCUCACACAAAAACCGAAAAAGGGUAGCAAACAUUCUAUGGUUUCAUUUGUGUAUGUGCUAUCUAGGGUAUAUCGAUAACCAAAAAGCCUUGAAGGAUAGAGUCGCUAGGUGAAUGAACAAAUAACAUUUGA